UAUUAUCACAUUUCCAAACGGAUCGAAGCUUAUUUUAAAAAAAAUACUUCGCUGUGCCAUUCCAUUUUAGACGGUGUCUGCAUGGAAAUAGGCCAAAACAAGGUGUAUCGUAUCUGAUGUAAUAAUUCAAACAAAAAGACCGUGUUUGACCAUAUUUCUAAACAUUAGGAAGGGAAGGGAGUUAGUUUCAGACUGGUGCCAGAAGCUUGCUAGUGACCUGCACAAUUAAGCUUAUUCUUUUCUCGACGUUAAGUAAAAUAACGCCUUCGUAAAGUUAGCAGUACAAGUGACAAAAUAUUGCACGUGAAAGUGUUUCAAUCCUCGUGAUAUUAAAAGUCCUCGCGCGCAAAACAUUCCCCUCCCUACCCGGGGAGUGGAAGUACUCUCAUAAUCUAGUGAGAAACUGGAUAAUCGCACAAAAAAAGUGAAAUAUUUGAAUUGAAAAUCCGUUUCCAGAAGAUUCCAGAAUGGAUUCCUAUCGGAAAGAAUUUGAGAUAAUUCCGGAUCGAUGUGACAGAUGGUUUUCUUAACCAUUAUAACACAUGAGACUAUCAUACUCUCUUGUAUAACAUUAAUUUAAAUAAUUUUCAGCAAGUUCAUUCCAUCCAUGAGAGACCCAUCACAAUAAUGUUUUAUUAAUUAUUUCUUGUAAACUGCCGGACGUUACUACGCCACACUAACGGACGUUAUGUCCGGCGUCCAGCUUCAAGCCUGUACAACUGAUGUGUUAGAUGUGAGCCAUUGCAAGCUAGUUUUCAUACAUUGGAGCCUUGCUCAACUUGAAUUGGUACAUCUGUUUAUGGUUUAUAUUGCAUACGGUAGAUGAGCUUAUACACGUGUUUGUAUGUGUAAAGGAAUUCCGGGAGCGUCUCACAACAAGAUUAAAAGCUCGGGAUUAAUUAACUCGGGUUAAAAUCGUAACUUCCACUCUGGGACAUUUUCCUUUGUCCCAAGAUUGUGAAAUUUCCCUACCUAAAGUCACUUAUCCGGGCUGAAGUUACUUGCGGGACUUUUCCCGAAGUUAGUUAAACGUUUGUAAACAGAGCUCAUAGAAUGUAUCGUCAUUCAAACGUUAGUGUCCAAGGAAGAAAGAAAUCCAAGCCAAGUUAAAGUGUAUUUGUAGUGGAAAAUCAUGUCCGUGAUCAAAUUGGAAACAAUUGAAGUAGAACAGACAGGAUUGACCAAGGGGAGAACGGAAAAGAUGUCGAAAAGACAUCUGCCAAAGGAAACGGAGUGAAAGCGAAGCUUUUAAAGUGUUAUACAUCAAUUCCAAUCAGGGCAGAAUAAAUGAGGGAUGUUAGAAAUUAGAACCGGAGCAUAAUCACGAAGCGAGACAAUAGUUCUUUUGCUAUUGAACUUGUCACGAUCACGGUUUGUUUGUUAUUUCUUCAUACAGUCUUGUUUGAAAUAUUUGACAAGAAGAACUUUUCUUAAGUGUUGAUGCCCAGUCGUUUUGUAGCCUAAACAAAGGUCACUCUGUGGUCAGCCAUUUGAUGAUGCAAUCAGGAGGGGUAUAAAAACAUCAUGCUGUUUAAAAAAAAAUCCUUGAAAAUAUUCGCUUUAGAACUGGGCAACAAGUCAAGUGUCCACUGCGUUAUAGUGAUCGAAUGUGCCAUUUCUAUGUUCAACCUUUGUCUAGUAAACGACUACUUCUCCUUCGAUUCCACGACGAAGAGCCUAGAGAAUGCGUUCUUCCAAAUGUCUCGAUUAAAGCUGAUCAAAUAUCGGUAAAUAAACCACGGUAUAGAUUGUAUUCAUCAUGAACUAGUGAACCCUAGUAUAGUUACGGAGCAAAUCACGUGCUCAACUUGUUUUAUACUCAAUUUUACCAGCUCAGUAGUCUACGCAUAUCGUGUUUUAUAAAAAUAAAGAAACAGGACAAAUACCCCGUGACUUAGAUUUCCUAAAUUGAAAGUAUUCACCUAAAUGUUUUCAUUUUCAAACAGAAUUUAUCAUAACAGGUGCUUGGAAUCUUCUAAAAUAGAUUCUCAAGGAAUCUAUUCUGUUUUCAACUUCUACACUGUCCUGGGCUCUUUAAAAUUCGAAAGUAUUUGCGUUAACAAUCCGGUACAAAAUUGCAAUAUAACCUGUAACGUUAUUUUCCAGCCGGUAAAGCUGCAUGUCACGCGAUCUAACGCGUGACAACCCCUAAAAAUACCAGGACUUUCAUGCUAAUUUUAUACAGCAAAGAAAGGAAAGUUCUAUCUUUUCAUUUUCUUAAAGAAACUUUACUAACCUUUUAGCAAAACCAAAUUGAAAUCUAUGUUAGCUAUUUCUGAUUCUUUCUUACGUAGCGUGGCAUGGCGAUUUUCAAAUUCCGAUAUAUGUUCUUCUCUUUUAUGGGAUAAAAUCUAGAAUUUUCCCCACUAGCGUAGCACAUGCUCCUGCGCUUUAUAAACAACCGGUUUCACAGGAUCAACGAGAAUCAUUUGCGACUAACAUUUUUUUAGUCUUUAUCAUUUUCUUCGUAAAGCGCGUGACUUCGGGGAAUCCCCGAGCUGCAAUUUGCAUAAUUAACUUCCUGCCCGUAACUUUUUGUAUAAAUACAACUCCGGAUCACAAUUCCGCUGUACUACAGCUAUCAACUUUUGGAAGCUAUACACUGGUAAUCUAGUUGGAAAGAACACUAUCCUGAGAAAACCAUGUCUGAGGCAACGGGAAUUCAAGCUGCAAUUCGUCAACACAUACACGAACACCAGCGAGGUGGAAACCUCUUGAAGGCCGACGUUAGAAAUGGCCAUGUAAACCAAGCACACGUUCCGGUCACGUUUACUGGAACCCGCACAGACGAUAGAAGAACAGGUAAACUUUAUGAAAGUGUUUCAUAGAAAUUCGGUUUGAUACCAAAAAUGUUUCCAUAAAACUUACUUCAAGUGGCCAACACUUCUUCUAAAAAUCGAAAGAACCAGAA
rnacentral:lncRNA from 1 species